rnacentral:rRNA from 1 species
GAUGAACGCUGGCGGCGUGCCUAAUACAUGCAAGUCGAGCGAACAGAUGAGGAGCUUGCUCCUCUGACGUUAGCGGCGGACGGGUGAGUAACACGUGGAUAACCUACCUAUAAGACUGGGAUAACUUCGGGAAACCGGAGCUAAUACCGGAUAAUAUAUUGAACCGCAUGGUUCAAUAGUGAAAGACGGUCUUGCUGUCACUUAUAGAUGGAUCCGCGCCGCAUUAGCUAGUUGGUAAGGUAACGGCUUGCCAAGGCAACGAUGCGUAGCCGACCUGAGAGGGUGAUCGGCCACACUGGAACUGAGACACGGUCCAGACUCCUACGGGAGGCAGCAGUAGGGAAUCUUCCGCAAUGGGCGAAAGCCUGACGGAGCAACGCCGCGUGAGUGAUGAAGGUCUUCGGAUCGUAAAACUCUGUUAUUAGGGAAGAACAAAUGUGUAAGUAACUAUGCACGCCUUGACGGUACCUAAUCAGAAAGCCACGGCUAACUACGUG